AAAAAAGCUUGCGGGAAGCGCGAAGAGCUAAGCCACUAAUGUCGUGGCGAAGGUUAUACCUCAGAAAGUCAGCGAAGAAGCCCACGGAGCGGUUUCAUAUGUGUUAUAUCCUUUCGAUCGAGCGACAACUUCUAAGGAAGGCUUUCAUUCCCCUUUGAAAGAAGUAAAAAAAAAAGAGCGCUAAGGAAACACAAAUGGAGAGAGAGAAGGUUGAACAAGUUCUUCUAGAUCUCAUGGAAUAAGGCAGAAUUUAAAACAACACUUUCCAUCUC
rnacentral:misc_RNA from 1 species